UACGGGGGGAGCAAGCGUUGUUCGGAUUUACUGGGCGUAAAGGGCGCGUAGGCGGCCACCGCAGGUCGACUGUGAAAUCUCCGGGCUUAACCCGGAAAGGUCAGCCGAUACUGCGGGGCUAGAGUGCAGAAGGGGCAACUGGAAUUCUCGGUGUAGCGGUGAAAUGCGUAGAUAUCGAGAGGAACACCUGCGGCGAAGGCGGGUUGCUGGGCUGACACUGACGCUGAGGCGCGAAAGCUAGGGGAGCAAACGGG
rnacentral:rRNA from 1 species